rnacentral:rRNA from 1 species
CCUACGGGUGGCAGCAGUGAGGAAUAUUGGUCAAUGGACGAGAGUCUGAACCAGCCAAGUAGCGUGAAGGAUGACUGCCCUAUGGGUUGUAAACUUCUUUUAUAUGGGAAUAAAAUGUUCCACGUGUGGGAUUUUGUAUGUACCAUAUGAAUAAGGAUCGGCUAACUCCGUGCCAGCAGCCGCGGUAAUACGGAGGAUCCGAGCGUUAUCCGGAUUUAUUGGGUUUAAAGGGAGCGUAGGUGGAUUGUUAAGUCAGUUGUGAAAGUUUGGGGCUUAACCGUAAAAUUGAAGUUGAAACUGGCAGUCUUGAGUACAGUAGAGGUGGGCGGAAUUCGUGGUGUAGCGGUGAAAUGCUUAGAUAUCACGAAGAACUCCGAUUGCGAAGGCAGUUCACUGGACUGCAACUGACACUGAGGCUCGAAAGUGUGGGUAUCAAACAGGAUUAGAUACCCCUGUAGUC